rnacentral:rRNA from 1 species
AUUGAACGCUGGCGGCAGGCCUAACACAUGCGAGUCGAGCGGAUGAAGGGAGCUUGCUCCUGGAUUCAGCGGCGGACGGGUGAGUAAUGCCUAGGAAUCUGCCUGGUAGUGGGGGAUAACGUCCGGAAACGGGCGCUAAUACCGCAUACGUCCUGAGGGAGAAAGUGGGGGAUCUUCGGACCUCACGCUAUCAGAUGAUCCUAGGUCGGAUUAGCUAGUUGGUGGGGUAAAGGCCUACCAAGGCGACGAUCCGUAACUGGUCUGAGAGGAUGAUCAGUCACACUGGGACUGAGACACGGUCCAGAGUCAUACGGGAGGCAGCAGUGGGGAAUAUUGGACAAUGGGCGAAAGCCUGAUCCAGCCAUGCCGCGUGUGUGAAGAAGGUCUUCGGAUUGUAAAGCACUUUAAGUUGGGAGGAAGGGCAGUAAGUUAAUACCUUGCUGUUUUGACGUUACCAACAGAAUAAGCACCGGCUAACUUCGUG